rnacentral:rRNA from 1 species
CUACGGAGGGGGCAAGCGUUGUUCGGAAUUACUGGGCGUAAAGAGUACGUAGGCGGAUCGUUAAGUUAGAGGUGAAAUCCCAGGGCUUAACCCUGGAACUGCCUCUAAUACUGCCAGUCUUGAGUUCGGGAGAGGUGAGUGGAAUUCCUAGUGUAGAGGUGAAAUUCGUAGAUAUUAGGAAGAACACCAGUGGCGAAGGCGGCUCACUGGCCCGAUACUGACGCUGAGGCGCGAAAGCGUGGGGAGCAAACAGGAUUAGAAACCCUAGUAGUCC